GACGUAGGGCGCGAGCGUUGUCCGGAUUUAUUGGGCGUAAAGAGCUCGUAGGCGGCUUGUCGCGUCGACUGUGAAAACCCGCGGCUCAACUGCGGGCUUGCAGUCGAUACGGGCAGGCUAGAGUUCGGUAGGGGAGACUGGAAUUCCUGGUGUAGCGGUGAAAUGCGCAGAUAUCGGGAGGAACACCGGUGGCGAAGGCGGUUCUCUGGGCCUUACCUGACGUCUGAGGAGCGAAAGCGUGGGGAGCGAACAGG
rnacentral:rRNA from 1 species